rnacentral:rRNA from 1 species
GAUGAACGCUGACAGAAUGCUUAACACAUGCAAGUCGAUGGGGAAGUGGUGCUUGCACCAUGGCAACCAUGGCGGACGGGUGAGUAACGCGUAAGGGACUUACCUGCAGGACUGGGAUAACAGGGGGAAACUCCUGACAAGACCGGAUAAUGUCAUGGAGCUGCAUGGCUUUAUGAUGAAAGGAGACGCCUGCGGAGAGCCUUGCGUCCUAUUAGCUAGUUGGUGAGGUAAUGGCUCACCAAGGCGAAGAUAGGUAGCCGGCCUGAGAGGGUGGACGGCCACAAGGGGACUGAGAUACGGCCCUUACUCCUACGGGAGGCAGCAGUGGGGAAUAUUGGACAAUGGGGGCAACCCUGAUCCAGCAAUUCUGUGUGCACGAAGAAGGUUUUCGGAUUGUAAAGUGCUUUCAGCAGGGAAGAAGG